AACGAACGCUGGCGGCAGGCCUAACACAUGCAAGUCGAACGGCAGCACGGGGCAACCUGGUGGCGAGUGGCGAACGGGUGAGUAAUGCAUCGGAACGUACCUUUCAGUGGGGGAUAACGUAGCGAAAGUUACGCUAAUACCGCAUAUUCUGUGAGCAGGAAAGCAGGGGAUCGCAAGACCUUGCGCCGAUUGAGCGGCCGAUGUCAGAUUAGCUAGUUGGUGAGGUAAAGGCUCACCAAGGCGACGAUCUGUAGCGGGUCUGAGAGGAUGAUCCGCCACACUGGAACUGAGACACGGUCCAGACUCCUACGGGAGGCAGCAGUGGGGAAUUUUGGACAAUGGGGGCAACCCUGAUCCAGCCAUGCCGCGUGAGUGAAGAAGGCCUUCGGGUUGUAAAGCUCUUUCGGCCGGGAAGAAAUCGCACGGGCUAAUACCCUGUGUGGAUGACGGUACCGGAAUAAGAAGCACCGGCUAACUACGUGCCAGCAGCCGCCGCGGUAA
rnacentral:rRNA from 1 species